AUUCCAGCUCCAAUAGCGUAUACUAAAGUUGUUGCAGUUAAAAAGCUCGUAGUUGAAUUUCUGGUCGUGGCGACCGGUCCGCCCCUCACGGGGUGUGCACCUGGUCUCUGCGUCCAUCCUCGGGGAGAGCGUAUCUGGCAUUCAGUUGUCGGGUGCGGGAUCCUCGUCAUUUACUGUGAGCAAAAUAGAGUGUUCAAAGCAGGCUUAGGCCGUUGAAUACAUUAGCAUGGAAUAAUAAGAUAGGACCUUGGUCUAUUUUGUUGGUUUGCAUUCCGAGGUAAUGAUUAAUAGGGAUAGUUGGGGGUAUUCGUAUUCAAUUGUCAGAGGUGAAAUUCUUGGAUUUAUGAAAGAUGAACUUAUGCGAAGGCAUUUACCAUGGAUGUUUUCAUCG
rnacentral:rRNA from 1 species